UACGAAGGCCCCAAGCGUUAGCCGGAAUAACUGGGCGUAAAGCGUCUGUAGGCGGAAUAGAACGUCUGCUGUUAAAUCUGAGGGCUCAACCCUCUAGGCUGCAGUGGAUACGGCUAUUCUUGAGGUAUGGAGAGGUAAGCGGAACUCCUAGUGGAGCGGUGAAAUGCGUUGAUAUUAGGGGGAACACCAAUUGCGAAGGCAGCUUACUGGCCAUGUCCUGACGCUGAGAGACGAAAGCGUGGGGAGCGAAUGGG
rnacentral:misc_RNA from 1 species